UAUACCCGAAACCGACAUAGGUGGGUAGGUAGAGAAUACCUAGGGGCGCGAGACAACUCUCUCUAAGGAACUCGGCAAAAUAGCCCCAUAACUUCGGGAGAACUAAAUGACCGCUCAAUGAUAAAGGAGGUAGGGGUGCAGAGACAAUAAGGAGGUUUGCCUAGAAGCAGCCACCCUUGAAAGAGUGCGUAAUAGCUCACUAAUCGAGCGCUCUUGCGCUGAAGAUGAAUGGGGCUAAGCGAUCUGCCGAAGCUGUAGGAUGUAAAAAUGCAUCAGUAGAGGAGAGUUCCGCCUUAGGGGGAAGCACCCUCGUGAGCGGGAGUAGACGAUGCGUUGAGACU
rfam:Gossypium arboreum cultivar AKA8401 contig_40390_3, whole genome shotgun sequence.